rnacentral:rRNA from 1 species
UGCAGUCGAACGAUGAUCCUCAUGCUUGCUGCGGGGGAUUAGUGGCGAACGGGUGAGUAACACGUGAGUAACCUGCCCUUGACUCUGGGAUAAGCCUGGGAAACUGGGUCUAAUACCGGAUAUGACUGCUCCGCGCAUGCGGUGGUGGUGGAAAGCUUUUGCGGUUUUGGAUGGACUCGCGGCCUAUCAGCUUGUUGGUGGGGUAAUGGCCUACCAAGGCGACGACGGGUAGCCGGCCUGAGAGGGUGACCGGCCACACUGGGACUGAGACACGGCCCAGACUCCUACGGGAGGCAGCAGUGGGGAAUAUUGCACAAUGGGCGAAAGCCUGAUGCAGCGACGCCGCGUGAGGGAUGACGGCCUUCGGGUUGUAAACCUCUUUCAGUAGGGAAGAAGCGAAAGUGACGGUACCUGCAGAAGAAGCGCCGGCUAACUACGUGCCAGCAGCCGCGGUAAUACGUAGGGCGCAAGCGUUAUCCGGAAUUAUUGGGCGUAAAGAGCUCGUAGGCGGUUUGUCGCGUCUGCUGUGAAAGACCGGGGCUCAACUCCGGUUCUGCAGUGGGUACGGGCAGACUAGAGUGAUGUAGGGGAGACUGGAAUUCCUGGUGUAGCGGUGAAAUGCGCAGAUAUCAGGAGGAACACCGAUGGCGAAGGCAGGUCUCUGGGCAUUAACUGACGCUGAGGAGCGAAAGCAUGGGGAGCGAACAGGAUUAGAUACCCUGGUAGUCCAUGCCGUAAACGUUGGGCACUAGGUGUGGGGGACAUUCCACGUUUUCCGCGCCGUAGCUAACGCAUUAAGUGCCCCGCCUGGGGAGUACGGCCGCAAGGCUAAAACUCAAAGGAAUUGACGGGGGCCCGCACAAGCGGCGGAGCAUGCGGAUUAAUUCGAUGCAACGCGAAGAACCUUACCAAGGCUUGACAUGAACCGGUAACGCCUGGAAACAGGUGCCCCGCUUGCGGUCGGUUUACAGGUGGUGCAUGGUUGUCGUCAGCUCGUGUCGUGAGAUGUUGGGUUAAGUCCCGCAACGAGCGCAACCCUCGUUCCAUGUUGCCAGCACGUAGUGGUGGGGACUCAUGGGAGACUGCCGGGGUCAACUCGGAGGAAGGUGGGGACGACGUCAAAUCAUCAUGCCCCUUAUGUCUUGGGCUUCACGCAUGCUACAAUGGCCGGUACAAAGGGUUGCGAUACUGUGAGGUGGAGCUAAUCCCAAAAAGCCGGUCUCAGUUCGGAUUGGGGUCUGCAACUCGACCCCAUGAAGUCGGAGUCGCUAGUAAUCGCAGAUCAGCA